rnacentral:rRNA from 1 species
CCUACGGGGUUCAGCAGUGGGGAAUAUUGGACAAUGGGCGAAAGCCUGAUCCAGCCAUGCCGCGUGUGUGAAGAAGGCCUUCGGGUUGUAAAGCACUUUCAGUGGGGAAGAAAGCCUUGGGGCUAAUACCCUCGAGGAAGGACAUCACCCACAGAAGAAGCACCGGCUAACUCCGGGCCAGCAGCCGCGGUAAUACGGAGGGUGCGAGCGUUAAUCGGAAUUACUGGGCGUAAAGCGCGCGUAGGCGGUCUGAUAAGCCGGUUGUGAAAGCCCCGGGCUCAACCUGGGAACGGCAUCCGGAACUGUCAGGCUAGAGUGCAGGAGAGGAAGGUAGAAUUCCCGGUGUAGCGGUGAAAUGCGUAGAGAUCGGGAGGAAUACCAGUGGCGAAGGCGGCCUUCUGGACUGACACUGACGCUGAGGUGCGAAAGCGUGGGUAGCAAACAGGAUUAGAUACCCUAGUAGUC